UAACACGUGGGUAACCUGCCCAUAAGACUGGGAUAACUCCGGGAAACCGGAGCUAAUACCGGAUAAUAUAUUGAACCGCAUGGUUCAAUAGUGAAAGACGGUCUUGCUGUCACUUAUAGAUGGAUCCGCGCUGCAUUAGCUAGUUGGUAAGGUAACGGCUUACCAAGGCAACGAUGCAUAGCCGACCUGAGAGGGUGAUCGGCCACACUGGAACUGAGACACGGUCCAG
rnacentral:rRNA from 1 species